UACGGGGGGGGCAAGCGUUUGUUCGGAAUUACUGGGCGUAAAGGGCUCGUAGGUGGCCAACUAAGUCAGACGUGAAAUCCCUCGGCUUAACCGGGGAACUGCGUCUGAUACUGGAUGGCUUGAGUUCGGGAGAGGGAUGCGGAAUUCCAGGUGUAGCGGUGAAAUGCGUAGAUAUCUGGAGGAACACCGGUGGCGAAGGCGGCAUCCUGGACCGACACUGACACUGAGGAGCGAAAGCCAGGGGAGCAAACGGG
rnacentral:rRNA from 1 species